UGGGAUGCUCAUUUCAUUUACAAAGGCUUGAUGUCCUAUCUAACUGCAGCUAAGAACGUGUUAGAAAGUAAAACCUUGAGCCUUGAUGGGACUUUGUAUCCCAUCCUGUAGGUUGGGUUUGGUUACUUGUGAAAUUACUGCUCAAGAGGGCAGUGGAGAAAGGAUGCCAGGCAGCUUCUUGGCUUGAAACUGGACCUGAAAAGAGAACAGUUAAAAUAGAGAGGUUUCCUCUAUCCCAUGGUGUGCAUGAAAGCAAUGUUUGACAGCAUAGAAAAAGGGAGCAACGCUGGGCUGGCAGAAAAAUUUGAGUUGUUUUUUUUUUUUUAAAGGGAAGUGCAGCAGUCAUUUUUCACUUAGGAACAAACUAUUUCAAAUACACCAGAAAACUGCAGAUUUUCUUCACUGUUUUGAACAGCCCAAACACAAACAUAGAAAAGUGAAUAGAUUUUGCACUCUCCACUUAAAAUAUUGAAAGCUUUUCAGUGUUCUUAUUUAAAAAGGUUUUAUUCAUUACUAGUGAAUAGCUACCAGCUCAUCAUUAGUUUCUUUCUAUUCUCUUGCAGAAUAAUUCUUCAUAGUUACACCGUACAAGGAGAACCUGUCCCACUGGUUUUAGGGGCAGGAUAAAAUAAUGUGAACAGCAGGAGCAGUGACAGUUCAAUUAGCAACACUGGCAGCUUCUUUAGAAUGGGUUACGUUGCUAGAGAGCGGAGCUUGCUGGCCUCAAAAUGCCUCUUGUGAGGAGGAAGUAUGAGCUCCUGAACAAAAUCAAUAGUUAAGGUAACCAGAUCAGAUGAUUUGACAUAUCAUGUAAUUAUACAGAUUAUUCAAGUACAGGCAGAAUAAAAGAAUUGGCAAAGACAAGACUAUUCAAGAAAAACAAUUGACCAUGAUGUCAUGUUACAUGAAGAAAUAAACUCCUGCAUUAAUUUAACAUGAAUAUAAUUGGAAAGUUGCAUGGAUCAUCCAAUGCUUUGUUUACUUUGCAGGUUUUUCAUUUUGAAAAUAUGCAAACAUUAUUAAUAAUGCAGCAAAAAUUGAGUAAA